AUGGUCCUAACCAAAGUUUGUGAAUUAAUAGAUAUGGCUAAUGGUAUGUGGGAUGAGGCGCUAAUAACAAGUUUAUUCAAUCCAGUGGAUGCCCGCAGAAUUAUUCAGAUUCCACUACACUUGCAUGGUUUUGAUGACUUUGUGGCAUGGCACCCGAACAGGAUAGGUAUUUUCUCAGUAAAGAGUGCAGAUCAUAUGCAGUGGAUGCAUAGUUUUCGGGCGCAUGCAAAUACGAUGGGACACCCUGGUGGCUCUACCACUCGGGCAGUGUGGAAUACUCUCUGGAAACUUCAGAUUCCACGUAAAGUACAGAUUUUUUGUUGGCGAGCACUGCGAGGAGUUAUCCCACUAAGAGCUAUACUUACUAACAGGCACAUUGGUUCCAAUGGUGCUUGUCCUAUCUGUCAUCAAGGGGCAGAUGAUAUCCGUCACUUAAUGUUUUUAUGCUCGAAUGCACGACACUUGUGGACGAAGCUGGGCAUCACAAAUAUCAUCGACCAAGCGAUCCAGGUUGAUAGAUCGGGGUCUGCGAUCUUGGAAUUUAUCUUAUCAUUGCUGGACCAACAGCUUGAGAUGCACCCAAUAAUUAACUUCAAACAAGUAAUAGCCGUUGGGGGCUGGUACCUUUGGUGGAUCCGUAGAAAAGUGACGCACAAUGAAUCAAUUCCUCCCCCUUGGAGGUGGGCACUCUCUGUGUUAUCAAUCUCAAGCAACCAUCAGAGGGCUACAUCGCUGGUGAGAAUUUCCCCUGAAGCAAAGUGGUGUAAGCCGGAACCUCGGUUCAUUAAGUUAAAUGUUGAUGUGGCGUACUACUCGGACGAAGGGGUAGGUGCUACGGCGGCUAUCCUGCGUGAUGACAAAGGUAAUUUCUUGGGAGCCCAAUGCAAGUUUAUACCUAUUGUGGUGGAUGCAAUAACAACAGAAGCGUUGGCCAUGCGAGACGGGCUGAUUUUUGCUAACUCCUUUGGGUGUAACCGGGUAGAAGCUGAAUCAGAUUCUUUGCAAGUAAUCAAUUAUUGUGAUGGACAGACCAUAUGGUGGGACUCGGCGGCGGCAAUAUUCGCAGAAUGUUUGAACACUAGUACUUCAAUAGGGAAGGUCGUUUAUAAGCAUUGUUAUAGAUCUUGUAAUCAAGUGGCUCAUAUGCUAGCUCAUUUUAGUUGCUGUAAUAAGACUUCAUUUAGUUGGUUGGAUGAGCCCCCUGACUUUAUUAUCAGUAAGCUCGUAGACGAUGUAAACAUUAUUUAA
rnacentral:rRNA from 1 species